CAAGCAGGCGGAGCGUGGUUGGUUUAAUUCGUAUGAUACAGAAGAACCUUACCCAGGUCUUGACAUGCAGGUAGUCGGGUUUACGAAAGUAGGCCCCACCCUCGGGAGGCCUGCACAGGUGCUGCAUGGCUGUCGUCAGCUCGUGUCGUGAGAUGUCCGGUUAAGUCCGGUAACGAGCGCAACCCUCGCUGUAUGUUAUACGUGUCAUACGGGACUGCCGGUAUCAAGCCGGAGGAAGGUGGGGAUGACGUCAAGUCAGCAUGGCCUUUAUGUCUGGGGCUACACACACGCUACAAUGGCCAGUACAAUAGGUUGCAAGACCGCGAGGUGGAGCCAAUCCUAAAAGCUGGUCUCAGUUCGGAUUGCAGGCUGCAACUCGCCUGCAUGAGGUCGGAGUUGCUAGUAACCGCGCGUCAGCUAUAGUGCGGUGAAUACGUUCCCGGGCCUU
rnacentral:rRNA from 1 species